AUUGAACGCUGGCGGCAGGCCUAACACAUGCAAGUCGAGCGAGCGUCGGACGGGUGAGUAAUGUAUGUGGACUGUCCGAUAGAGGGGGAUAACUACUGGAAACGGUAGCUAAUACCGCAUACGAUCGGAUAACCCAUAUGGGAUUAGCUAGUAGGUGAGGUAAUGGCCCACCUAGGCGACGAUCCCUAGCUGGUCUGAGAGGAUGAUCAGCCACACUUGGACUGAGACAAGGCCCAGACUCCUACGGAGGCAGCAGUGGGGAAUAUUGCACAAUGGGCGCAAGCCUGAUGCAGCCAUGCCGCGUGUAUGAAGAAGGCCCUCGGGUUGUAAAGUACUUUCAGUCGGGAGGCGUUACCGACAGAAGAAGCACCGGCUAACUCCGUGCCAGGCGCCGCGGUAAUAC
rnacentral:rRNA from 1 species